CCUGGCUCAAAAGCUCCCCUGCUGAGCACCUUGUGACCCCCUGCCCCUGCCAGCCAGAGAACAACCCCCUUUGACUGUAAUUUUCCUUUACCCAAACCCUAUAAAACAGCCCCACCCCUAUCUUCGGACUCAGCCCGCCUGCACCCAGGUGAAAUAAACAGCCUUGUUGAUCACACAAAGCCUGUUUGAUGGUCUCUUCACACUGACGUGAGUGAAAUUUUGGUGCCGUGACUCGGAUCUGGGGAGUCACAAUCCGAGAUCAAUCCCCUGUCCUCCUGCUCUUUGCUCCACCUACGACCUCGGGUCCUCAGACCAACCAGCCCAAGGAACAUCUCACCAGUUUUAAAUCCGGUCCGGGCUUUAGGUAGAUAAGGGAACUUCAGAGAACAACUUCAUCCUGUGUUUUGGGAGACACGGAGGACUGAGCGAUGAGAAGUAGGUCAUCCUUUCCCCAUGGCUGCAUAAAAUAGAUUGAAUCAAAUGGAGCCCAUCAUGCUGGCUGCUUCUCUCCGCUGGGGCCAGGAGCAGCCUGACUGCAGAGUCAGCUGAAGACAGACAGCAGUCAGAGUGCUGGCCUUCUCCUUCCAAAAACACAGCCGUUCAAGUUCACAGAGACUGAAGAAUACGAUAAACACAGAUAAACGUGCUUGACGGACAGACAACCGGGCAGUGAUCUGCUGGGUUCAGCCAAUGUGAUGAGCAGAAGUGGGAAGAAAUCAGUCUCCUGUGCGGAUAGAAUCAGGAAACCCGUCUAAUCCCACUCUUCUCCAUUCCAUUCUCCAUACCGAAACCAGUGUCAUCUUCAAUGAGAUAAAGCAUAUCUAUAUCACACCCCUGUUUACAAAAAACCAUCACUACUGUCUCCGCUGCAUUUGUCUUAAUCGCAUAAUCCGGCUCCUAGUUCUUGGGCCAGUUUUACCAUGUGCCAGUUCCCCCGAACCAGUUUCUCCCAUUGGAAGGUUUUGUCUCUCUGCACAGCUCUGACCUCUGCCUGUGUUGCUCUUUCCCCAGAGCCUUGCCUGGCUGACUUCUACUCCUCCCUCAUGUGGCAGGAAAUCUCACCUUUGCAGAAAGACCUUCCAUGCCAACCUACACAGCAAAGGUCUUCUCCCAGGCCAUGCCCCUUUCAACUCUCAGCUCCUCACUUGUUUUCAUCAUAACAAUUACCCCAAAUGAUAAUGAUGGUUUUUUUUUUUUUUUUUUUGAAACAGAGUCUUGUUCUGUUGCCCAGGCUGGAAUGCUGUGGCGUUAUCUUGGCUCACUGCAACCUCCCACUUCCUGGGUUCAAGCAAUUCUCGUGACUCAGCCACCUGAGUAGCUGGGAUUACAGGUGUGUACCACCAUGCUCAGAUAAUUUUUGUAUUUUUAGUAGAGUUGGGGUUUCAUCAUGUUGGCUAGGCAAUUACAGGCGUGAGCCACUGCGCCCAGUUACAAUGGAUCUUAUGUAUCUGACCACUUACCCGUUUUGUCCUUCCUUCCUAGUAGAAUUGGACUCCCAUGCAAGUGGAGACCCAGUCAGUCUUGUUCACUGCAAUCUCCCCAGGGCCUGCCACAUCUAAAAGACAUAUUUUCUGAUAAAUGAAUCAUAACAGUUG
rnacentral:lncRNA from 1 species